CCUUACACUCAUCAUCAAGCAUCCACACAUUCAAAUCAACCAACCCUCACAUUCAUUAAGCAUAAAACAUCAGGUGAAUUCUUGCAAAUGGUCAAUUGGUCCAAAUUAUUUGGUUGGGUAAGGGAAGGCUUUUUAUUCAAGUGAGUAAAGAGGUUCAAGAUAUAUGAUCUUUAAGGUGGUUUACUCUCGAAACAAGUAGCCUUGACAUUGCACAUAAUAUAUCUAAGAAAGGGACCAACUCAUGCAUACAAUGCUCAAUCUCCAUUGUUCUACCUUUUUCCCAAACAUACAAGUUACACAAUCACUUCCCAAUGUCAAACCCAACUCACAUCUCUCACCAAAAGAACCCAAGAACACUUUGCACAUAAAACUCUUUUUCUUUGAAAUCUAUAAAGGAUUUUUCUCAACUUCAAAACAAUCUUAGCUCCUAACAACUUUGCUAGCCCUU
rnacentral:lncRNA from 1 species